rnacentral:rRNA from 2 species
UGCGUAGGUGGUCCGUUAAGUUCGUUGUGAAAGCCCUGGGCUCAACCCAGGAACUGCUUCGAAUACUGGCGGACUUGAGGCCGGUAUGGGUCACUGGAACUGACGGUGGAGCGGUGAAAUGCGUAGAUAUCGUCAGGAACGCCAAUGGUGAAGACAGGUGACUGGGCCGGAUCUGACACUGAGGCACGAAAGCGUGGGGAGCGAACGGGAUUAGAUACCCCGGUAGUCCACGCCCUAAACGAUGCAGACUAGACUGCAGCAGGUUACACCCUGUUGCGGUCGGAGCGAAAUUGUUAAGUCUGCCACCUGGGAAGUACGGUCGCAAGGCUAAA